AUUGAACGCUGGCGGCAGGCCUAACACAUGCAAGUCGAACGGUAACAGGAAACAGCUUGCUGUUUCGCUGACGAGUGGCGGACGGGUGAGUAAUGUCUGGGAAACUGCCUGAUGGAGGGGGAUAACUACUGGACACGGUAGCUAAUACCGCAUAACGUCGCAAAACCAAAGAGGGGGACCUUCGGGCCUCUUGACAACGGAUGUGGCCAGUUGGGAUUAGCUAGUAGGUGGGGUAACGGCUCACCUAGGCGACGAUCCCUAGCUGGUCUGAGAGGAAGAACAGCCACACGGGAACUGAAGCACAGUCCAGACUCCUACGGGGGGCAGCAGUGGGGAAGAUGGCGCAACGGGCGCGAGCCUGAUGCAGCCAUGCCGCGUGUAUGAAGAAGGACUUCGGGUUGUAAAGUACUUUCAGCGGGGAGGAAGUGAGUAAAGUUAAUACCUUUGCUCAUUGACGUUACCCGCAGAAGAAGCACCGGCUAACUCCGUGCCAGCCGCCGCCGUAA
rnacentral:rRNA from 1 species